AUCCUGGCUCAGGAUGAACGCUAGCGGCAGGCUUAACACAUGCAAGUCGAGGGGCAGCAUGAAGGUUAGCAAUAACCUUUGAUGGCGACCGGCGCAAGGGUGCGUAACGCGUGAGCAACUUGCCCGUUUCUGGGGGAUAACCGGUGGAAACGCCGACUAAUACCCCAUAGUAUUGAUUUCAGGCAUCUGUUAUCAAUUAAAGAACUUCGGAAACGGAUAGGCUCGCGUGACAUUAGCUAGAUGGCGGGGUAACGGCCCACCAUGGCGACGAUGUCUAGGGGUUCUGAGAGGAAGGUCCCCCACACUGGAACUGAGACACGGUCCAGACUCCUACGGGAGGCAGCAGUGAGGAAUAUUGGUCAAUGGUCUGACGACUGAACCAGCCAUGCCGCGUGAAGGUGACGGCCCUAUGGGUCUUAAACUUCUUUUGUAAGGGAGCAAUAAGUUCUACGUGUAGGAUGAUGAGAGUACCUUACGAAUAAGCAUCGGCUAACUCCGUG
rnacentral:rRNA from 1 species